UUGAAGCACUCGUGAAUUGCAAUUAUUUGAAAUUUGAACAAAAAAAUACAGACCACAGUCGUGCAGAGUUCUACUUCUAAUAGUUCUAUUCAUACAUAUUAUUACAUAAUCGCCAUGCAUAAGUGUAUUGUUUUUAGUAAAACAUCCGAAGUAUCGCCUAGCCACAUUAUGUUGGUUUUAAUUUAUUUCCAAAAAAUGAAAAUAGAAGGAAAUAAUGGCUAAACAUGUUCGAAUUAAAUGAUUAUCCCAAUUUCUAUCUGACAUAGUAUCUGCGGAUUAUUUCUCAAUUACUGAUUGUAAACAAUGCUCUCAAAACAUAAUCCAAACCGUUUGUCUGGGAUAGAGAAGAAAAAUAAAUUUUAGUAAAUUACAGCAAUAUUGGUACUACUCUGAGCACGACUAAUAAAUUGCAUCUAUGUGUUGGUCUGUUUUUUGCGCUGUGCCACUGCAGUGGUAGACGACGGUGUUGUCUCCAGAACCGAACAAUGUCAGCGAGGGUGGAGCGUGACGUUGCUACUCGUUGCCGGUGGUUAGCAGACAAAAAAUUGAACA